AAUACACUAACAGUAAAAUGGGGGAAGACAUGGGGGAAAAAGAAAUAGAAAUAGAAGAAAUAGAAAGGGGGCAUUUUUCUUCUUAAGAGCAGCAAACUGAGGCAACCAAGGACUAAGCAGAAGUCAGAAUGAUGGAAGAAAGAAGAGAAGAAAUAGAGCCAGGAAAAGAGAAGGAAACCAGGAAGAACAUCUAACACAGAGAGCUGCUCUGCACAUUCCCGGGCCUACACCAUAGCUGCAGCAACACUGGGUCUUUAACCUAUUGCACCGGCAAAGCCACAGAGUCAAGUUGGAUCAUUAACCCACUCUGCCACUGCAGGAACUACCAUAGUACUGGAAUUUUAGCUGGGCUCAUGGCUGCCUGACUAGACUGCGUGUCCCGACCUCCCUUGCAGCUAAGUAGAGCCAUGUCAUUACAUUUUGGCCAGGAGGAUAUUAGCACUCCACAUCUUGCUCCUAGCGAAUGCCUGGAUACAUGUAUGUGUGUGCAAAUUACCAAAGGACCACCACCAAUUAAUAAACUGUUGCAUGUUA